UACGUAGGGUGCAAGCGUUAAUCGGAAUUACUGGGCGUAAAGCGUGCGCAGGCGGUUGUGCAAGACAGAUGUGAAAUCCCCGGGCUCAACCUGGGAACUGCAUUUGUGACUGCACGGCUGGAGUGCGGCAGGGGGGGAUGGAAUUCCGCGUGUAGCAGUGAAAUGCGUAGAUAUGCGGAGGAACACCGAUGGCGAAGGCAAUCCCCUGGGCCUGCACUGACGCUCAUGCACGAAAGCGUGGGGAGCAAACAGG
rnacentral:rRNA from 1 species